GAUGAACGCUGGCGGCGUGCCUAAUACAUGCAAGUCGAGCGAAUGGAUUAAGAGCUUGCUCUUAUGAAGUUAGCGGCGGACGGGUGAGUAACACGUGGGUAACCUGCCCAUAAGACUGGGAUAACUCCGGGAAACCGGGGCUAAUGCCGGAUAACAUUUUGAACCGCAUGGUUCGAAAUUGAAAGGCGGCUUCGGCUGUCACUUAUGGAUGGACCCGCGUCGCAUUCGCUAGUUGGUGAGGUAACGGCUCACCAAGGCAACGAUGCGUAGCCGACCUGAGGGGGUGAUCGGCCACACUGGGACUGAGACACGGCCCAGACUCCUACGGGAGGCAGCAGUAGGGAAUCUUCCGCAAUGGAGGAAAGUCUGACGGAGCAACGCCGCGUGAGUGAUGAAGGCUUUCGGGUCGUAAAACUCUGUUGUUAGGGAAGAACAAGUGCUAGUUGAAUAAGCUGGCACCUUGACGGUACCUAACCAGAAAGCCACGGCUAACUACGUGCCAGCCGCCGCCGUAA
rnacentral:rRNA from 1 species